CCGUGGCGGCCGGGGCUGGUGCGGGGGUGCUGCCCCUGCUGUGCCCUCAACGUCUGCGUUCGUGCAUAAAAUGCUGGAUAAGGCGGAACCACCUUGUUCAUGUGGUAGAGUGUUGGUGCACAUGCUUGUGUUACCCGUACAUAUUUGGAGGGCUCACUGACCGGCAUCAUGGCAUUGCUGCACAGCAGAAGACUUACAGAAGUACUGUAAAAUCUACAUAGCAUCCCAAGGAAACGAGACCCACAACAUUUAGGUGUGACGGAGAGGAGGUUUUCAAUCGUGUCGAGUACAUUGCACAUUAAGCAUUUCAUGGAAGGCCUAUCACAAGUAGAAGAAUACUUCGUACACACAAGUGGAUUUUCCUGAAAGCUGAAAUGGCAUGAACAGUUUCCAGUAAUGGGAAUGUGACAUAUCCUGAAGAAAAAUUUCCUCAAGACAGGAAAUAAUACAAGAGAGAUGCUUGAAGGCUGCGUCUGAAUAGAAGGAAAACAUGUUUUGUAGAAAACAAGCAGGAGCAAGUGCUUUUAGCUUAUUCAGAGAUGAAUGGGAGCACUUGUCAGAACUGCCUGACAAAUGUGGAUGAUGUAACCAGAAGGAAGUGUAACACCUGAAGAGAUACUGUGGCUUGGAGUUAAUGCUUUUAAAAAGCCUGCUAAAAUAGCUGCAAUUUUGUCCAGUAGAUACUGUCUCUGCAUAUUUAAAAUACCAUCUUUCCAAAAUACUGAACUGUCUUCUGCUGGAAGUGUAGCAGUAAUAUUAGGGAAAGGAGUGCAUGAAAAAACCCUUGAUUAUUUACCCUUUUAAAAUACCAUAUAGGUGCACAGUCUUGCAGAUACUGGAGAGCUGUGAUAACUCGGGAUUGGAACUCACAGGCAGGCCUUGUAAAAAGGGUGAAAGCAAAGACAAUGUCUACAGCUUGCAUCACUGUAUCUGGUGAGGGAGUGAGGAGUUGGGGUUUUAUGAGCUGCUGUUUCAGCAGGAGAAGACUAGUACCACAGCAGUGGAACUGCCCCUUGAGGAAUGCACUGGUAACAGUACUUGCUUGCUCUCUGGGGGAAAGAGGUUGGUAGUGGGAGAAGAGUUAACGUACAUUGCAACUUGGGCUUUUGUCUUGGUUUGAAAAGACAGGUGUCUGCCUAAGGAAGGCAGGAACCUCCCUUGAAACGGAAAAUGUAAACCCCCUCCAAAUUACUAUAAUUUUGAAAUUAAGGGUCUCUCAGGCAAAGAUAUAGGAAUAGGAAUAACAGUUCUUUAUUAGGAAAAAUAAAAAAGCAGUAAUACAAAACAUCACUGAUAGAGUCAGAAUACAACCUGACAACCCUGUGGGAAUCAGGAUGUUGGUAGCAGUCCAAUUGGAUGGUGGCUGCAGUACUUUGGAGCAACAGGUGUGGUUCUCUUGAAGUAGUGAUCCUGUAGAAGGGUGGAGUUUUCCUCUGAAGGUCCAGUGGUGGUGUAGGUGGCCUUGAUCUUCCUCUGGGAAUCCAGUAGAGAAGAAAGCUACUCCUCUGGAAUCCAGUGGGAGAAGGCUGCCUUGUGGUAUUCCAAACCUCAGAUUACAUCCAGAUAGGAAUGCUUGGCUCCUCCCCCUGGGCAGAGCCUCUCCCAAUGAGAUUAUGUAAUUUUGUCAGUCAAGGAAUGACCACUAACAGAAUAUGCCUCCCCAGAGGGAGGGUUGGAUGUGGAAGAGAUAAAGAAAACUGCCCAAUUAACAGAAGAUAACUGCCACACCUGUAAUAGAUAGCAAUAGAAUACACACCCCCAGCUACAUCUUGCAACCUAAGACAGCUUUGAACAGUCACUUGAAAAGUACUGGUGCUGUAAUUGUAAUAGCAGCAUAUUUGCUGUAGUCAGCAAACUGUCCCUUCCACAGAGGAAUGGAGGAUUGUAAGUUGGUCACCAAGGAAGUUUAAAGACAAAAGUUUACCUUGAAGCAUGACUUUCAAGCCUUAUUGUUAGGAAUUCUUUGUAAAGGCAGAAACAUUAUAACAGCAUAAUUCCUACUGUAACUGAAUACUUUUGAAAUCAUCCAAAAUACAUAAAACAGCUCUAUAGUUCAUGGGGUGUACCUGUUCAUCAAUGACGAAUUCUAUGUAUGUACAAUUUUCUGUCAAAAGUAGUAUGAAGUAUAAACAUUACCAGGAACAACGCAUAAAGCAUUGGAAAUGUCAAAAAUAAGUAUCCAUCAUGCUACUGAAGUGGAUGCCAAGGAUCUGACUGAACUCCAUGAGUGCAUUGGCUCACUUGGCGCAUCCUGUGGUUUUCUUACUAAACAGUGGCCUGCUGCUUUGGCUAAAGGCUGCUCCUUUUGAGCAAGGAAUGGUAAAUCAGUCUGUUGAAUAUCAAGAUCUGCAGAAAUAAAGUAGAAAAUAGCUUUCUCUUUAUUGCUUUAAAUAACUUGUUUCUGUUAACAAAUGUUGCUGGGAAUGGUGCGUAUUUUUAUGUGCCAUGUUUUAUACAUGCUUCUGAAUAAAAAUAAGGAUGUUAAAGUCAUGGCUGUUGCACAUCAGCUGUGGAUCA
ensembl:lncRNA